rnacentral:misc_RNA from 1 species
AAGUCGUAACAAGGUUUCCGUAGGUGAACCUGCGGAAGGAUCAUUAUAGUAUGGGCUCCGGCCCUAAUAAUCCAACCUCUGUGAACUGUUCAACUGCAUGCUGCAGGGUGCCGCUUGCGGCGUCCGCUUACAUCAGUGUCUUAAACAUCAGUGUAAAGAAUGUAAACAUAUUAAACAAAUAAAA